GGGCUUAUAACUCAGUGGCUAGAGUGGAAGAUUGCAGAUCUUCUGGUCCCGUGUUCGAAUCACGGUGGGCCCU